GCUAACGUCCGUCGUGGAGAGGGAAACAACCCAGACCGCCGGCUAAGGUCCCAAAGUACUAAUUAAGUGGGAAACGAAGUGGGAAGGCUUAGACAGCUAGGAUGUUGGCUUAGAAGCAGCCAUCAUUUAAAGAAAGCGUAAUAGCUCACUAGUCGAGUCGGCCUGCGCGGAAGAUGUAACGGGGCUAAAAUUAGUCACCGAAGCUGCGGCAUCAGGCGUAUCACUAAUACGCCUUACGAUUAACAAUUUGCGAAAUGAAGAGAAGCAAGUUGGUCAAGCGCCAAACACGUUGAGGCGGAAGUCAUGACGGGAAGUGCGGUUGGGAAUUGAGGAAUAUUAGUGAUACGCCUGUUGGGUAGGGGAGCGUUGUGUAAGCGGAAGAAGGUGUAUUGAGAGGUAUGCUGGACGUAUCACAAGUGCGAAUGCUGACAUAAGUAACGAUAAAACGGGUGAAAAACCCGUUCGCCGGAAGACCAAGGGUUCCUGUCCAACGUUAAUCGGGGCAGGGUGAGUCGGCCCCUAAGGCGAGGCUGAAAAGCGUAGUCGAUGGGAAACGGGUUAAUAUUCCCGUACUUGGUAAAGCUGCGAUGUGGGGACGGAGCAGGUUAGGUUAGCGUGCUGUUGGAUAUGCACGUUUAAGUUGGUAGGUGGGGAGCUUAGGCAAAUCCGGGCUCCUAUAAACACUGAGAGAUGAUGACGAGGCCUUAAGGGGCUGAAGUAACUGAUACCAUACUUCCAGGAAAAGCCACUAAGCGAAAGGCUUUACUAAACCGUACUGAAAACCGACACAGGUGGUCAGGUAGAGAAUACUCAGGCGCUUGAGAGAACUCGGGUGAAGGAACUAGGCAAAAUAGCACCGUAACUUCGGGAGAAGGUGCGCCGGCGUAGAUUGUAAGGGCUUGCCCCUGAAGGUUGAACCGGUCGAAGAUACCAGCUGGCUGCAACUGUUUAUUAAAAACACAGCACUCUGCAAACACGAAAGUGGAGGUAUAGGGUGUGAUGCCUGCCCGGUGCCGGAAGGUUAAUUGAUGGUGUAAUCGCAAGAGAAGCAUCUGAUCGAAGCCCCGGUAAACGGCGGCCGUAACUAUAACGGUCCUAAGGUAGCGAAAUUCCUUGUCGGGUAAGUUCCGACCUGCACGAAUGGCAUAAUGAUGGCCAGGCUGUCUCCACCCGAGACUCAGUGAAAUUGAAAUCGCCGUGAAGAUGCGGUGUACCCGCGGCUAGACGGAAAGACCCCGUGAACCUUUACUAUAGCUUGACACUGAACAUUGAAUUUUGAUGUGUAGGAUAGGUGGGAGACUAUGAAGUAGUGACGCCAGUCAUUAUGGAGUCGACGUUGAAAUACCACCCUUUAACGUUUGAUGUUCUAACGAGACAUCGAUUACAGGUGUUCGGACAGUGUCUGGUGGGUAGUUUGACUGGGGCGGUCUCCUCCCAAAGGAUAACGGAGGAGCACGAAGGUUUGCUAAUCACGGUCGGACAUCGUGAGGUUAGUGCAAUGGUAUAAGCAAGCUUAACUGCGAGACGGACAGGUCGGGCAGGUACGAAAGUAGGUCAUAGUGAUCCGGUGGUUCUGCAUGGAAGGGCCAUCGCUCAACGGAUAAAAGGUACUCCGGGGAUAACAGGCUGAUACCGCCCAAGAGUUCAUAUCGACGGCGGUGUUUGGCACCUCGAUGUCGGCUCAUCACAUCCUGGGGCUGAAGUAGGUCCCAAGGGUAUGGCUGUUCGCCAUUUAAAGUGGUACGCGAGCUGGGUUUAGAACGUCGUGAGACAGUUCGGUCCCUAUCUGCCGUGGGCGUAGGAGAAUUGGUUGGGGCUGCUCCUAGUACGAGAGGACCGGAGUGGACGCACCGCUGGUGUUCCGGUUGUGUCGCCAGACGCAUAGCCGGGUAGCUAAGUGCGGGAGAGAUAAGUGCUGAAAGCAUCUAAGCACGAAACUUGCCAAGAGAUGAGUUCUCCCAGACUUUAGGUCUGUAAGGGUUGUUUAAGACGAAGACGUAGAUAGGCGUGGUGUGUAAGCGUAGUGAUAUGUUGAGCUAACACGUACUAAUUGCCCGAGGGACUUAGCCAU
rnacentral:rRNA from 1 species